rnacentral:rRNA from 1 species
GAUGAACGCUGGCGGCGUGCCUAAUACAUGCAAGUCGAGCGAACAGACGAGGAGCUUGCUCCUCUGACGUUAGCGGCGGACGGGUGAGUAACACGUGGAUAACCUACCUAUAAGACUGGGAUAACUUCGGGAAACCGGAGCUAAUACCGGAUAACAUUUUGAACCGCAUGGUUCAACAGUGAAAGACGGUCUUGCUGUCACUUAUAGAUGGAUCCGCGCCGCAUUAGCUAGUUGGUAAGGUAACGGCUUACCAAGGCAACGAUGCGUAGCCGACCUGAGAGGGUGAUCGGCCACACUGGAACUGAGACACGGUCCAGACUCCUACGGGAGGCAGCAGUAGGGAAUCUUCCGCAAUGGGCGAAAGCCUGACGGAGCAACGCCGCGUGAGUGAUGAAGGUCUUCGGAUCGUAAAACUCUGUUAUUAGGGAAGAACAAAUGUGUAAGUAACUAUGCACAUCUUGACGGUACCUAAUCAGAAAGCCACGGCUAACUACGUG